UACGGAGGGGGCUAGCGUUGUUCGGAAUUACUGGGCGUAAAGCGCACGUAGGCGGCUUUGUAAGUUAGAGGUGAAAAGCCCGGAGCUCAACUCCGGAAUUGCCUUUAAGACUGCAUCGCUAGAAUUGUGGAGAGGUAAGUGGAAUUCCGAGUGUAGAGGUGAAAUUCGUAGAUAUUCGGAGGAACACCAGUGGCGAAGGCGGGCUCACUGGUCCAUUACUGACGCUGAGGUGCGAAAAGCGUGGGGGAGCAAACAGG
rnacentral:rRNA from 1 species